GGAAGGUGCAAGCUUUAAUCGGAAUCACUGGGCGUAAAGCGCGCGUAGGCGGUUAGAUAAGUCGGGUGUGAAAGCCCCGGGCUCAACCUGGGAACUGCAUUCGAUACUGUCUGACUAGAGUGUGAUAGAGGGAGGCGGAAUUCCGCAUGUAGCGGUGAAAUGCGUAGAGAUGCGGAGGAACACCAAUGGCGAAGGCAGCCUCCUGGAUUAACACUGACGCUGAGGCGCGAAAGCGUGGGGGGAGCAAACAGGAUUAGAUACCCUGGUAGUCCACGCCCGUAAACGAUGUCAACUAGCCGUUGGGAGCAAUUUGGCUCUUGGUGGCGCAGCUAACGCGAUAAGUUGACCGCCUGGGGAGUACGGUCGCAAGAUUA
rnacentral:rRNA from 1 species